rnacentral:rRNA from 1 species
UGGGGAAUUUUGCACAAUGGGGGAAACCCUGAUGCAGCGACGCCGCGUGAUUUAGAAGGCCUUCGGGUUGUAAAAAUCUUUUCUAUGGGAAGAAAAUGACAGUACCAUAGGAAUAAGGACCGGCUAAUUACGUGCCAGCAGCCGCGGUAAUACGUAAGGUCCGAGCGUUGUCCGGAAUCAUUGGGCGUAAAGGGUACGUAGGCGGGUAAGCAAGUUAGAAGUGAAAUCCUGUAGCUCAACUACAGUAAGCUUUUAAAACUGCUCAUCUUGAGAUAUGGAAGGGAAAGUGGAAUUCCUAGUGUAGCGGUGAAAUGCGCAGAUAUUAGGAGGAAUACCGGUGGCGAAGGCGACUUUCUGACCAAAAUCUGAAGCUGAGGUACGAAAGCGUGGGUAGCAAACAGG